CUAGGAUGGGUGACCUCCCA
rnacentral:siRNA from 1 species